rnacentral:rRNA from 1 species
GAUGAACGCUAGCGACAGGCUUAACACAUGCAAGUCGAGGGGCAGCAUAAAAGUAGCAAUACUUUGGUGGCGACCGGCGCACGGGUGAGUAACGCGUAUGCAACCUACCUAUCAGAGGGGGAUAACCCGGCGAAAGUCGGACUAAUACCGCAUAAAACAGGGGCACCGCAUGGUGCUAUUUGUUAAAAAUUUAUUGCUGAUAGAUGGGCAUGCGUUCCAUUAGGUAGUUGGAGAGGUAACGGCUCACCAAGCCUACGAUGGAUAGGGGAACUGAGAGGUUGGUCCCCCACACUGGUACUGAGACACGGACCAGACUCCUACGGGAGGCAGCAGUGAGGAAUAUUGGUCAAUGGGCGAGAGCCUGAACCAGCCAAGUCGCGUGAAGGAAGAAGGAUCUAUGGUUCGUAAACUUCUUUUGCAGGGGAAUAAAGUGCAGGACGUGUCCUGUUUUGUAUGUACCCUGAGAAUAAGGAUCGGCUAACUCCGUGCCAGCAGCCGCGGUAAAGUAG